rnacentral:rRNA from 1 species
CCUACGGGUGGCAGCAGUGAGGAAUAUUGGUCAAUGGGCGGGAGCCUGAACCAGCCAAGCCGCGUGAGGGAAGAAGGUACAGCGUAUCGUAAACCUCUUUUGUCAGGGAACAAAGGCGGGGACUAGUCCCCGGAUGAGGGUACCUGAAGAAAAAGCAUCGGCUAACUCCGUGCCAGCAGCCGCGGUAAUACGGAGGAUGCGAGCGUUAUCCGGAUUUAAUGGGUUUAAAGGGUGCGCAGGCGGCCUGUUAAGUCAGCGGGAAAAGCCCGGGGCUCAACCCCGGCGAGCCGUUGAAACUGGCGGGCUGGAGUUGGAGAGAGGUACGCGGAAUGCGCGGUGUAGCGGUGAAAUGCUUAGAUAGCGCGCAGAACCCCGAUUGCGAAGGCAGCGUACCGGCUCCACACUGACGCUGAGGCGCGAAAGCGUGGGUAUCGAACAGGAUUAGAUACCCUAGUAGUC